AUGAACGCUGGCGGCGUGCCUAAUACAUGCAAGUCGAGCGAACGGACGAGAAGCUUGCUUCUCUGAUGUUAGCGGCGGACGGGUGAGUAACACGUGGAUAACCUACCUAUAAGACUGGGAUAACUUCGAGAAACCGGAGCUAAUACCGGAUAAUAUUUUGAACCGCAUGGUUCAAAAGUGAAAGACGGUCUUGCUGUCACUUAUAGAUGGAUCCGCGCUGCAUUAGCUAGUUGGUAAGGUAACGGCUUACCAAGGCAACGAUGCAUAGCCGACCUGAGAGGGUGAUCGGCCACACUGGAACUGAGACACGGCCCAGACUCCUACGGGAGGCAGCAGUAGGGAAUCUUCCGCAAUGGGCGAAAGCCUGACGGAGCAACGCCGCGUGAGUGAUGAAGGUCUUCGGAUCGUAAAACUCUGUUAUUAGGGAAGAACAUAUGUGUAAGUAACUGUGCACAUCUUGACGGUACCUAAUCAGAAAGCCACGGCUAACUACGUG
rnacentral:rRNA from 1 species